UUGAUGCGAUGAUGACUGCAUAGUUCAGCAGAUUAAACCGUGAAGAUUUACUAUUGUCUUUCGCUCCUAGCUGAUGCAUCAA
ensembl:snoRNA